CAGCCCCGUGGCUCCUGCCUGCCUCGGGCCGGGCUUGUGCGGAGACGCGUGCACGUAGGCGUGCGCGUGCACACGCGCGCACGGGCUCGCAGAAACAUUCGCCCGCUCUGACCCACGCAUACACGCGCUCGUGGGUGGCCGCCUGGGGAAAAUGGGAGAAAUGUCCUAAACGCUCGGAUUAGCCAUCACCCUCCACCAGUGGAUGCCGUUGAGUCUGCUGGUGGCUGAGAGGCAGCUGUGUAGACGGUGACCAGCGGAAGUAGCGGCUGUGACCGCGGAUCGCAAAGUUCCUCUGGUUUGCGUGAGAAGGGACACGUCGUGUUUUCCUUGGCACUCCCUGCCGACUAAGGACA